UGGGGAAUUUUGCACAAUGGGGGAAACCCUGAUGCAGCGACGCCGCGUGAUUUAGAAGGCCUUCGGGUUGUAAAAAUCUUUUCUACGGGAAGAAAAUGACAGUACCAUAGGAAUAAGGACCGGCUAAUUACGUGCCAGCAGCCGCGGUAAUACGUAAGGUCCGAGCGUUGUCCGGAAUCAUUGGGCGUAAAGGGUACGUAGGCGGGUAAGCAAGUUAGAAGUGAAAUCCUAUAGCUCAACUAUAGUAAGCUUUUAAAACUGCUCAUCUUGAUGUAUGGAAGGGAAAGUGGAAUUCCUAGGGUAGCGGUGAAAUGCGCAGAUAUUAGGGGGAAUACCGGUGGCGAAGGCGACUUUCUGGCCAUAACCUAACGCUAAGGUACGAAAGCGUGGGUAGCAAACAGG
rnacentral:rRNA from 1 species